UGUCUUUAAGGAGAACCCCACUAUGAAGCCGGUCAGGUGGGGAGACAGCACUUCCAUUCUCUUUAAAUGAUAGAAAUGUCUAAUUUCUGAGACUCUCUGUCUUGUGGAGCACUGUCGUCUUCAUGGACACAGGCAGGAUGGCAACCAUGUGAUGCUGCUUUCCUUCACCUUCCACCUUGAGUGGAAGCUCCAUGAAGUCCUCACCAGAUGCUGAUGCUGGCGCCGUUCUUGUUUUAUAGCCUGCAGAGCCAUGAGCCAAAGAAAUCUAUUUUAUUUAUAAAUUACCCAGCCUCAGGUAUUUCCUUUACAGCAACACAAAUGGACUAAGACAUGGUCAUGACAAAGUCUCCCAUAGAAAACUGAUCUGGCCUUCUCCAAAACUGAGGGCAGCUGGGAGGCAUAAACAGAAAAGGACAUUGGACAACACUGGGUUUAGCCUGAGAGACUCUCCUCACUAGAGAAGCAGAUUUUCAGUUGUCCAAUCAAGCUGCUAAAGAAAGAGGGGCUGAUUUGUCAGACUAUUUUGUCUAUAACUAGGGUAGCCAUAUAUGCCAAUUUCCCCAAGGCAGUCUUGAUUAGCUUCUAUUUUUUGGCACAAUUCUGAACAGUGUCACCUCUUUUAUUCUAAAAUGUUUUCUGAAAUAAAA
rnacentral:lncRNA from 10 species